rnacentral:rRNA from 1 species
UUGGUGAACCAGCGGAGGGAUCAUUACCGAGUGCGGGUCCUUUGGGCCCAACCUCCCAUCCGUGUCUAUUGUACCCUGUUGCUUCGGCGGGCCCGCCGCUUGUCGGCCGCCGGGGGGGCGCCUCUGCCCCCCGGGCCCGUGCCCGCCGGAGACCCCAACACGAACACUGUCUGAAAGCGUGCAGUCUGAGUUGAUUGAAUGCAAUCAGUUAAAACUUUCAACAAUGGAUCUCUUGGUUCCGGCAUCGAUGAAGAACGCAGCGAAAUGCGAUAACUAAUGUGAAUUGCAGAAUUCAGUGAAUCAUCGAGUCUUUGAACGCACAUUGCGCCCCCUGGUAUUCCGGGGGGCAUGCCUGUCCGAGCGUCAUUGCUGCCCUCAAGCCCGGCUUGUGUGUUGGGUCGCCGUCCCCCUCUCCGGGGGGACGGGCCCGAAAGGCAGCGGCGGCACCGCGUCCGAUCCUCGAGCGUAUGGGGCUUUGUCACAUGCUCUGUAGGAUUGGCCGGCGCCUGCCGACGUUUUCCAACCAUUCUUUCCAGGUUGACCUCGGAUCAGGUAGGGAUACCCGCUGAACUUAAGCAUAUCAAUAAGCGGAGGAAAAGAAACCAACCGGGAUUGCCUCAGUAACGGCGAGUGAAAGCGGCA